rnacentral:snRNA from 1 species
ACCUACAGGUAUUUCAGAGCUAUU